UGAGUACGAGCUGCUACGGCAGCGAAGUGGGUGAUGUCAUGCUUCCAAGAAAAGCCCUAUACCCGUUAAGGCAUGAUGGCCUGUACCCGAGACCGACACAGGUGGGGUGGUAGAGAAUACCGAGGGGCGCGAGGUAACUCUCUCUAAGGAACUCGGCAAAAUGGCCCCGUAACUUCGGGAGAAGGGGUGCCACCGCAAGGUGGUCGCAGUGAAGAGGCCCAGGCGACUGUUUACCAAAAACACAGGUCUCCGCUAAGUCGCAAGACGAUGUAUGGGGGCUGACGCCUGCCCAGUGCCGGAAGGUUAAGGAAGCUGGUCAGCGUAAGCGAAGCUAGCGACUGAAGCCCCGGUGAACGGCGGCCGUAACGAUAACGGUCCUAAGGUAGCGAAAUUCCUUGUCGGGUAAGUUCCGACCCGCACGAAAGGCGUAACGAACUGGGCGCUGUCUCGGAGAGAGGCUCGGCGAAAUAGAAUUGUCUGUGAAGAUGCGGACUACGUGCACCCGGACAGAAAGACCCUAUGAAGCUUUACUGUAGCUUGGUAUUGUGCUCGGGCUCGGAAUGCGCAGGAUAGGUGGGAGGCUAUGAACCAUUGCUUGUGGGUGAUGGUGAGCCACUGGUGAGAUACCACUCUUUCCGAGCUAGAGUUCUAACAGUCACCCGUUAUCCGGGGGCUGGACAGUAUCAGGUGGGCAGUUUGACUGGGGCGGUCGCCUCCUAAAAGGUAACGGAGGCGCGCAAAGGUUUGCUCAGGCUGGUUGGAAAUCAGCCGACGAGUGUAAAAGCAGAAGCAAGCUUGACUGUGAGACCUACAAGUCGAACAGGGAGGAAACUCGGCUUUAGUGAUCCGACGGUUCUGCGUGGAAGGGCCGUCGCUCAACGGAUAAAAGUUACUCUAAGGAUAACAGGCUGAUCUCCCCCAAGAGUUCACAUCGACGGGGAGGUUUGGCACCUCGAUGUCGGCUCAUCGCAACCUGGGGCUGAAGUCGGUCCCAAGGGUUGGGCUGUUCGCCCAUUAAAGCGGUACGCGAGCUGGGUUCAGAACGUCGUGAGACAGUUCGGUCCAUAUCCGGUGCAUGCGCAGGAAUAUUGAGAGGAUUUCUCCCUAGUACGAGAGGACCGGGAGGAACGCACCUCUGGUGUACCAGUUAUCGUGCCAACGGUAAACGCUGGGUAGCCAUGUGCGGAGAGGAUAACCGCUGAAAGCAUCUAAGUGGGAAGCCCACCUCAAGAUGAGUAUUCCCAUGGGGUAACCCAGUAAGGUCACGGGAAGAACACCCGUUGAUAGGCUCUACGUGGAAGCGCAGUAAUGUGUGAAGCGGAGGAGUACUAAUAGACCGAGGGCUUGAC
rnacentral:rRNA from 1 species